rnacentral:lncRNA from 12 species
AGAAGGUCACUUUUAAAUUUCAUUUAUUUAUUUCUGUGUACAUUUUCCGUAAUUCGACUGACAUACCAUUGCUAUAAAGAUGCCCUGCUCUUUGAAUAUUUCCAUCCAAGACCACUAGUUUCAAGUGUGGUUAUGAAAAGUCACGGCAAACAUAUGACUGGAAAGAGGUGGUUGGUUUUUGACUUCCAGGCAGUUGUUUGAAGCGUUUCAGAGAUGCACACGAUAUUCAGCAGAACACACGCACGCACAGUGCUGGGUUACACACACACACACGCACACACACAUCUGGAAAACUGUUACAGUGGUUGAAGUCUCCAAAAAGGUGUACUGUCCCCUCUCAGCAGCAGUGAAAAACCUCUGGGUAUCCUGAGAAAUCAAAUCAAAGCACAGUCAAGAGGAGUAACUUACCCCAUCAGCAGGGUUUGGGUUGGUUUUUUUUUCCAAGUCAAAUGUAUUUUGCCAAUCUGUAUGAAAUGAAGAUGGUGGGGAGAAAGAAUCUGUGGCAGUGAAGGUUAAAGAAUAGCAGUUCAGCAUGGAUCCUAAAAGCAUCUCAGUAAAACAACGUUGAGUAAAAGCCUCUCAGAGAUUACACACACGGUCCUGCUGUCACUCUGCUGCUCCUGCUCAUCCCCAGAGCACCAGGAACAGCUCUGAGAUGGGUGAGGACAACACAGGGGGUGCAGCAGGUGGAGCCAGGGGGAGGGGACGUGCAGGUGGGCAGCCAGGUGAGCAGGGAAGGACUCUGGAGCUCACAGCCUGUGAGCCUGGCAGUGCCUGGCUGAUGAUGGAACCUGGCAGUGCCUGGCUGAUGAACCUGGCUGAUGAUGGAACCUGGCUGUACCUGCCUGGCUGGGAGCAGGAGCUCAGGGUGUCCAUCCCACACAGGGCAGCUCCAAACCCUGAGCAAAGCCCACAGGACACUGCCAACCAGCCAGUGCCACCUCCCACCCACGUCAGCACCUCUUUCCUUCCCACCAGCCCCCUCCACGCUGCUCUGUGUGACCCAUCCACCCUGCCUCAGGCUGUGACUCAGGAUGCUGCCCUAGGUUUGCUGGCUUGGAUUCUGCCAAGGGAAGAGCUCCCUCCACAAGGCUAA